UCAUACGCGGCUUAAAAUGCAGACGGGUUAUAACAGAAGGGGAAUUAGAAAUAAAGAUGACACUGGUUUAAUGAAUAAAGUAUAGCUGUUAUAUUUUGGAGUUUAGGUGGAAAGUUUAACGAAUUUCUAAGUGUGGAAACGGCUGUAAAUACAUACAUAAAAUGAACAACGGAAUCCGGAGAAGAAGAGAAGAGAAUAUUCAGUGUCUUAUGUCAUAUUUGCUUUUCUUCCUCGUCUGUCUCAGACCUUCAUCAUCAGGUGAUCAACCUCAAAGAGCUCAAGUCGAUGAAAGUACUUUCGGAGACUGUAAUGAGCAAAUUUUUUUGCCACCCCCCUACACGACUUGGAUUGGCUCUCACAACAUCACACUCAGCUGGAUCCCUCUGAACUGUACCGACGGUGUGGUGUACAUUCCCCAGUGGACAGGGCCUACACAAUCUGGGGUUUGGACACAA